UGAAAUAAAAUUAUAACUUGACUCCUUGUGUUGUGUACAAGACAAUAUAUGGGGCCACAAGCUCGCAAGAGAGUUUGGUACCUGCAAGAGUUAAUUAGGAGAAAAGAAAAUCCUAUGUUAUUUAGAAAAAAAUUAGAGCUCAUGCAAUUUAACAAAUAUAAGUGCCUACCAUUACAUGUUUUGGCAUGAAUAAGAUGUCAUAACAUGAGUAAACAAGAAUGAUAUGCGGUUGAUUCUCCUUGUUAUCUGUAAAGAGUAAGAAGAAUUCAUUCAACAUUUCCGCGUUCUAUAGUCAUGUCAGAAAACUGGUGAAGAAUCUGUGUCCUGAAAUCCCCAACACAUAGCCACAAACCUAACUAUAUGCUCAAGAUAAUGGCUGUGUGUUAAUGAAAGUUCCAAUAUAGAUUGGGUUAUUAUUCAGUGGCAUAGAACUAAAGAAUGAGCAUUUUGUUUCGCAGAUUAAGGGCCCUGUCGUACGAUGGUUAAAUCAAUUAACAAAUUGUUUCGUCUCGCACGUACACGGUCCUCGUGAGGUGCAGGUGAGUUUGACUCGCUCUAACUCGUCGCUGACUCGGUCAUUAAGGCCGUUGAGUGAAGAUGAAACGAGGCUGCACACGCCGGUUGUGAUUUCGUGUAACGAAGAUAGAAGAGAGGUUUUAGCUGUUCAGAAUAUCGCCAACAAACAGAUCGAUAGAACCUUCGCAUUUGACAAGGUUUUAUCCAGCUUCAGAUACCUGAAAAGAGAAGAGCGAGAUGGCGUCGGUGGUGAAGAACGAACUCAAAUCCGUCAGAGAAAAGGGUUUCGGCGCUUUCCUCAGAGAGCUCAAGGAUGGAGGCUACCUGAGAUGCCUUCCGGAUGGAAAUCUCUUGUUGCUCUUGUUGUCUUCUCAAGCCGUGGACGCCUCUGAGUAUGCCAACAACAAGUUCAAAUAUUCUUUUACUACUAAUUCAACACCUGUUAGAGGAACUAUCGAUAGGUACAAGAAAGCAUGUGCUGCCUCCACAAAUGCAGAAUCUGUCUCUGAAGCUAAUACACAGUUUUAUCAGCAGGAAGCGUCCAAAUUUAAAAGACAAAUCAGAGACAUUCAGAAUCUAAACAGGCACAUCCUUGGUGAAGCUCUUAGCUCUCUUAGUCUAAAGGAAUUAAAGAACCUGGAGAGUAGACUGGAGAAAGGUUUAAGCAGAGUUAGAUCCAGAAAGCAUGAAACUUUGUUUGCCGAUAUCGAGUUCAUGCAAAAGCGGCCGUUUUCUUGGUGGGUAGUCCAAUGAAGGUCUUAGCCGCUCUGUCUUGCUACUUUUCAAAAACUCAUUCAACACUCCUUCCAUACUAGAAACCUGGAUAAACGGAUCUUAACCUUAGCUUACUUAAUCUUCAAGGUCAGUCUUAUCCCAACUGCACCAUCUUCAGCCUAAGCCACCUUCAACAACUUGAUCUAAGCUCCAAUUACUUCUUUGGUGACAUUUCCUCCACAAUCUCUCACUUGUCCAAAUUACAGUCACUUGACCUCAGUUUCAACUCCGUGAGAAUGAGACUUGAUUCAUACUCAUGGAACAAACUCAUUCAAAAUGCUACUAAUUUAGCAGAGCUUCAUUUAGGUGGUGUGGACAUGUCUUUUAUCGAAGAUAGCUCAAUGUCAUUGCUAACCUAUUUGUCUUCCUCUCUCGUCUCUCUUAUUAUCUCACAGACACCAAAUUAGAUGGGAAGUUGCCAACUGAAAGCCUCUUACCCAAUCUUAUAAGACUGUAUUUGAAUACAAAUGAAAAGCUGAGAGUUGAACUUUCAACGUCCAACUGGAAUACUACUAAGGCUCUUGGAUCUCUCUUAUAUUGCUUUCUCAGGAAACAUUCCCGAUUCCAUUGGCCAUUUGAAGUCUCGAACUAUUUCUGAGUAGUUGCAAUUUUGAUGGAAUGGUUCCCUCAUCAUUGUUUAAUCUAACUCAACUCUCCAUUUUAGAUCUUAGCAACAACUCACGAACCAAUUGGUGAAUUCUCAUCUUAUUCUUUCAAAUACUUGUCACUCUCCAAGAACAAAUUGCAAGGUAAUUUUCCAAAUUUAAUAUUUGAACUCCAAAAUCUUGUUGUUUUGAGUUUGUCACCAAUUGACUUGGAUAAACUAUUUCCUUCUCCUAUGAUUUGUCAUUUUCAUUCUUCGUUAACUAAGCACACCUUCAACAAGUCUCGCGAGCCAUUGUGGUUUCCCAUUCAUGAAAACAUUAUAUCCCAAAAGCAUUCCAAAUAGCAACCCACAUGCAUGUCCCACUGGUAUAGCUUUCCAGCCAAAUCUCGAUUCUUCAUGGUGAAAUGUUGAAUGUGGCUGUCAAUCUUCAUCCUUAUUGUAGGAUUUUGACAAAGACAGUCCACAUAGCAUUGCAUGCAUAUGAAUCAUUUCCAAAUGUGUUAAACUGUGCACCUUUAGGUAUGAUACCCUCAAACUGGUUUUGUAAAAGGUAACAUAACCAGAAAAUUCAAAUUGAUCAAAGCCAUAGGAAUCUCUCCUUUCAACUGGUUCCACGAGUUUGGAAUGAUACCAGUGAUUGCAUUGUGCGAAAGGUUAAGCCCUUUGAGAGAAUGCAAUUCUCCAAUGACUUUCGGAAGUUUUCCUUCAAACAUGUUAUUUGAUAAAUCAAUGGUUGUGAAAAUAGUUAAUACCCUCUCGAGCUCCAUACAUUGACCUUUCAUUACAACCGCUACUGAAUCAUUAUAGAAAUCUUGGUCACCCAUAUAUUUCAAACCAGUUUGGUUGUCAUUCACACUCACAUGCCUUGAAAGUUCUUGAUGUAUGAUGUUGGCAAAGGCCCACUAGAAUUGUUAUCUGAGGAUAAAAAAUUUCUCAGCCUGGGAAAUGGAUGCUUGGCACCGAAACUAGUGAUGACACCAUGAAACUUAUUUGAUCACAAACUGGUUUGAAAUAUAUGGGUGAUCAAGAUUUCUAUAUUGAUUCAGUAAUGGUUGUAAUGAAAGGUCAAUACAUGGAGCUCGAGAGGGUGUUAACUAUUUUCACAGCAUUGAUUUAUCAAAUAAUAUGUUUGAAGGAGAACAUCUGAAAGUCAUUGGAGAAUUGCAUUCUCUCAAAGGGCUUAACCUUUCGCACAAUGCAAUCACUGGUAUCAUUCCACGAUCCUUUGGUAAUUUAAGAAAUUUGGAAUAGUUGGACCUCUCGUGGAAUCAGUGGGUUGCUAUUUGGAAUACUUUUGGGAUAUAAUGUUUUCAUGAAUGGGAAACCACAAUGGUUGCGAGACUUGUUGAAGGUGUGCUUAAUUAACAAAGAGUGAAAAUGACAAAUCAUAGGGGAAGGAAAUAACUAUAAGCUUAUCAUAUUUAAUAGGUGUACUUUAAUUGAUUAAGUUUAUCCAUUUUUGAACUUUGAGAAUUGAUGAAAGUUCAGAUGAUCACUCAAGUCAAUAGAUGACAAACUCAAAACAGCAAGAUUUUGGAGUUCAAAUAUUGAAUUUGGAAAAUUAUCUUACAGUUUGUUCUUAGAGAGUGUGACAAGUAUUUGAAAGAAUAAGAUGAGAAUUCACCAAUUGGUCCCAUGAGCUGGUUGUUGCUAAGAUCUAAAAUGGAGAGUUAAGUUAGAUUAAACAAUGAUGAGGGAACCAUUCCAUCAAAAUUGCAAAUAAUCGGAAAUAGUUCGUUAAGAGACUUCAAAUGGCCAAUGGAAGAAAGCGGAAUAAGAGAGAUUCGAGAGUCUUAGUGGAGUAUUCUAGUUGGACUUUGGAAGUUCACCUGGAGACAGAUUGGUUAGCAAUGACAAAGAGUUUUCUCUGAUAGAAGACAUGUCCACACCACCUAAAUGAAGCUCUACUAAAUUAUUAGCAUUUUGAAUGAGUUUGUUCCAUGUGUAUGGAUCAAGUCUCAUUAUGGAGUUGAAACUGAGAUCAAGUGACUAUAAUUUGGACAAGUGAGAGAUUGUGGAGGGAAUGUCACCAAAAAAGUAAUUGGAGCUUAUGUCGAGUUGUUGAAGGUGGCUUACGCUGAAGAUGGUGCAGUUGGGAUGGAGUUGACCUUGAAGAUUAAGUAAGCUAAGAUCAAGAUCAAUGACGUGACCUGAGAUGGUGUCACACGUGACUCCAUCCCAUUCACAACAAUUUGUGUUGUUUAUCUAGGUUUCUAGUAUGGAAGGAGUGUUGAAUGAGUUUUUGAAAAGUAGCAAGACAGAGCUGUCAUGUUGGUUGCAGAAAGAGGAAGAAGAAGAAGCUAAUAUGAAGUAUGAGAGUAGAACCCAGCAAAGAAUGUGAUUGAUAUUCAUCCUUUAAACUGAAGAACAAAAAUAGAGAGGAUUUCAUAUGGAUACAACCAAUGCAAUUCACUCAAUAUUAGAUGUAUACAUGAAUUAUAUUUGUUAGGUUAUCCCAUGUAUUGAUGUCCUUUUUCUUUAACGAAUAUUAUCUUUUAAAAGAUAGUAUCUGGAAAGGAAAAUUGUCAAGCAAAUAGUUAGUUGAUUUGUUACAGUAUGUUAUCGCUGUUAUGUUUGGUUUGUACGUUCUGUUAUUGCUGUUAAGUUUGGUUAAGCUAAUUGCAGUUUGUUACGGUUAAUAUAGUCUAAUCUCAUUUGGUUAA